UUAAAUGCUGCUCGACCAGCAAAAUACUGCUCGACCAGCAAAUUUACUGCUCGACCAGCAUUUUUUCUGCUCGAGCAGAAAAAUCCUGCUCGACCAGCAUUUAUUUUUAGAUUAUGGCAUUAGCCAAUCAGAACUCUUGUUAUAUUUGCCAUUUGGUGCAAAACUGGUUUGUUUGGAAAAAAUGGCUGCCGCCGUGAUGGUGCCUUUUUCACAUCUUCUGCAAGUUUAUGUGACGAUCUGUUUAAAGUUUAACAUUGACACGCGGUGGACUUCAAUAUGAAUGAUCUACUUAUGCUGCCACAAUGUAAAGGCAACAAUCACUGGGUUUUGCUGGUUGCAAGUGUUAUGUCCAGGACUGUAACCAUUUACGACUCAUUGGGUGGUAACAACAAGGCCUUGUUCGAUUUGUUCUGCCAGUUCAUGUGUCAACGAGGGCAAAUUGUGAAAGAUGGCUUGGAAAAAAUCAGUUCAGAGUUAAAAGCGCCACCUUGCAACAAACAGCGCCACGGAAACAGCUGUGGAGUGUUUGCAUUGAUGACUGCCAAAUGUUUGGUCAUUAAAAAGCAUCCCACAAUGUUGCGACAUGCCCAUGAUUCAGUUUAUCGAGACUAGUCGUGAGAAGCAGACUUCUGAUUCCUGGAGUGCGGCAAACAUAUCUGUGCGACUCGAUCACUCCACUGUAAAGACCCGCACGGCAUUUAAAUGGAUAUUAUCAAUAUGUGUUGUUGCUCGAAAAUAUGUUUGUGUAGCAGGAAAUGCUUUGGGCUCGAUUAAUCUGAGAACUCAACAAAAUAUUAAUAAAAUCCUUCUGUGCCUUUUAGUUCUGAAAACAGAAGUAGCCAGUUGGUAUUACACAUCUCCUAAACAAGUACAGCACGAUAAAACUUAUAAACCUAGAUAUUUAUUUAUGUAGUGGUGUAUUUUUCAAUGAGUGCCUUAUGAUUCCAAAAACAUAUUGACUUAAAAUAAAUAAUCCCGAUGGCGUAAAUGACUUAUCAUUUCAUGUUCAUGAACCGGCUUUAAAAUACUUUGUAGACUUAUCUGCUAGGCGGUGAGGACUUUUAGACCACCUGAUAAACUUCAACUUUAUUUGCCCUAGUUCAGUAACCGACUAAACAUAUGCUAACAUUAUACUGAUGACUGAUGAGUCUGUUGUGUCUUAUAUUCUCAUUGCUACUUAAAAUAUUAAGUCUAUUUCAACGUUUAGACUAAUAAUAAGCAAAUUCGUUAAAUUGAUAUCCCCGCCAAAUAAAUUUUGAUUAUUGAUGGGUGCAGAACUAACAGAAAAGUUUAUUUGAAGGGUUGUACCCUUAUCUCACUUAUUUUAUAGUAACAACAUAAAAAAACAAUUGGCAAUAACUCUUAUUUAAGAAAGUGUAGGGUUAUAGAUUUUGUGCAUGACACCUCUCCUCAUUUAUAUCUUAACGUCCAUUAAAUUUCAUCUUUAAAUCGUGUAUAGUAUCUGUGAUAUAGUCCUGUAAAGUAACAUCAGACAUGUACAUAUGUACUAGGGUUAUGUUUCUUGUGCAUGGCACUUAUUCUCAUUGACAAUUAUACACCCAUGAAAUUUCAUGUUGAAAUCUUGUAUUUAUAGUUUCUGAGAUAAAGCCCUGAAAAGUUACAUCAUACAAAAACAACAAAGGGCAAUAACUCUUAUUUAAGAAAGUGAAGGGUUGUGGUUCUUAUGCAUGGUUCUAUAAAUGAGAUAUAGCCCUGAAAAGUUACAUCAUAAAAUAACAAUAACAAGAAAGGGCAAUAACCGUUAUGUAAGAAAGUAUACGGUUAUGGUUCUCGUGCAUUGAUAAUUAUACACCCAUGAAGUUUCAUGUUAAAAUCUUGUAUAGUAUCUGAGAUAUAGCCCUAGUUACAUCAUAGAAAAACAACAAAGCGCAAUAACUCUUAUUUCAGAAAGCGACGGGUUAUGGUUCUUGUACAUGGCACCUCUCCUCAGCUAUAUUUAUACACCCAUAAAGUUUCAUGUUGAAUACUUAUAUUGAGUUUCUGAGAUAGAGCACUGACAAGUUUGUGAGUGACUGCACUGACAGACAGACCAACGGUACGUUUAAGUAUAUUUAGCGUACCCGGGGUACAUUAAAGUAUACUUAAGAGUACACGGGGUACUUUAAAGCAUUACCCGAGCUGAAGCGACAAUUGCCAAUCAAGCUUAUUGACAUAUUAAAUAAAUGAUGAUAGUGGUAACUAUGAUUGUAUGAAAUAUAAUAAAAUAGUUUUCCUGAA